rnacentral:lncRNA from 1 species
CCCCCCAUUACUCUUCAUAAUAAACUCUUCCUGGCCCCGAGCGGCCCACUACUAGGCGGUUACAAACGUCGCUAUCAAUCCGUUGCUCCCUCUGCCUAUAAAAAGGGGGCUCCAGAUAUGUUAUUCUCUAAGCUCUAAUUUCUAUCCCAAAACUCUGCUAAAAUUUUCGUUCGAGCACUCCAUUCUUGUUGAGGCAGAGAACUGACUUGAGC